UACAGGGGGGGCAAGCGUUGUUCGGAAUUACUGGGCGUAAAGGGCUCGUAGGCGGCCAACUAAGUCAGACGUGAAAUCCCUCGGCUUAACCGGGGAACUGCGUCUGAUACUGGAUGGCUUGAGAUUGGGAGAGGGAUGCGGAAUUCCAGGUGUAGCGGUGAAAUGCGUAGAUAUCUGGAGGAACACCGGUGGCGAGGGCGGCAUCCUGGACCAACACUGACGCUGAGGAGCGAAAGCCAGGGGAGCAAACGGG
rnacentral:rRNA from 1 species